UCUGGUUGAUCCUGCCAGUAAUCAUACGCUCGUGUCAAAGAUUAAGCCAUGCAAGUAUAAGUAUAAAUCAUUUUAUACAGGUGAAACUGCGAAUGGCUCAUUAUAUCAGUUAUUGUUUCUUUGAUAUUAACUUCUACAAGGAUAACCGUAGUAAUUCUAGAGCUAAUACUUGAGAAAAAAUAGCGUAAGCUAUGUAAUUAUUAGAAUAUAUACCAUUUCCAAGGUGAGUCAUAAUAAAUAUACUGAUCGUCUUUAGGGACGAUAAAUCAUUCAAGUUUCUGCCCUAUCAGCUUUCGAUGGUAGUGUAUUGGACUACCAUGGCGUUAACGGGUAACGAAGAAUUCGGGUUUGAUUUCGGAGAGGGAGCCUGAGAAAUGGCUACCACAUCCAAGGAAGGCAGCAGGCGCGUAAAUUACCCAAUCCUAACAUAGGGAGGUAGUGACAACAAAUAACAAUGUGGAGCUUUUUAAGUUCUGCAAUUGGAAUGAGUGACAAUUAAAAUUCGUUUACAAAAGCUAGUAGUGGGCAAGUAUGGUGCCAGCAGCCGCGGUAAUACCAUCAUUACAAGCGUAUAUUAAAAUUGUUGCAUUUAAAAAGCUCGUAGUUGAAAUAAUAGAUAGAAGAAAUGUGCGGCAACUGCCAAGCUGAUCUUUCUAUCUUUUGUUCUAUAGCAAUAUAGAACCAUUUACUGUGAAAAAAUUAGAGUGUUUAAAGCAAAUUGUAUGAUAUUGAAUAUUAUUAGCAUGGAAUAAUAAUAUAUGAUUAUGAUUAUAUAUUAUGGUAGUAUAAUCGUAAUAAUGAUUAAUAGGGAUAGUUGGGGGUAUUCAUAUUUCAUAGUCCAGAGGUGAAAUUCAAGGAUUUAUGAAAGAUGAACAAAUGCGAAAGCAUUUACCAAGGAUGUUUUCAUUAAUCCAAGAACGAAAAGUUAGGGGAUCAAGAGAGGCUUAGAUACCCUCGUAGUCUUAACUAUAAACUAUAACGACUAGAUAUUAGUAUAAAAAAAUCUUACAUAAAUAAAUAUUAGUAUCUAAAAGCGAAAGCAAAGUGUAUGGUUUAUGGGGGAGUACGGUCGCAAGUCUGAAACUUAAAGGAAUUGACGGCGAAGGGCACACCAGAUAUGGGUUAUGCGGCUUAAUUUGGACUCAACACGGGGGAAAACUUACCAGGUCCAGACACAGUAAGGAUUGACAGAUUGAAUCCUCUAUCUUGAUUUUGGUGGGUGGUGGUGCAUGGCCGUUCUUAGUUUGGUGGAGUGAUUUGUCUGGUUAAUUCCGUUAACGAACGAGACCUUAAACUAAUUAAAUAGUUAGAUGUAUUUCGAUACAUACUAACUUCUUAAAAGGACUCUAGGACUUUUUUCAACUCUAGGGAAGUAUAAGGCAAUACAGGUCUGUGAUGCCCUUAGAUGUUCUGGGCCGCACGCGGUGGACACAAUGAUAUAUAAUACAAUGAGCUUAAAAUUGCUGGACUGAGAGGUUGGCUAAUCUAUGUAAAAUAUAUCAUAUUAGGGAUAGAUGCUUGCAAUUAUUCAUCUUGAACGAGGAACACCUUAGUAAGGGUAAGUCAUUCAGCUUACCUUGAAUACGUCCCUGCCCUUUGGUACACACCGCCCGUCGCACCUACCGAUUGAAUGAUGAGGUGAAAAAGAUAGAAGAGUAGGGGAUCUCGGUCUCUUAUUCACAAGUCUUUUAAAUCUUAUUAUUUAGAGGAAGGUGAAGUCGUAACAAGGUUUCCGUAGGUGAACCUGCGGAAG
rnacentral:rRNA from 1 species